rnacentral:rRNA from 1 species
UAGCCGUAAACGAUACUCGCUAGGUGUCGGCCACGGUGCGACCGUUGUCGGUGCCGUAGGGAAGCCGUGAAGCGAGCCACCUGGGAAGUACGGCCGCAAGGCUGAAACUUAAAGGAAUUGGCGGGGGAGCACCACAACGGGUGGAGCUUGCGGUUUAAUCGGACUCAACGCCGGGAAUCUCACCGGAUAAGACAGCUGAAUGAUAGUCGGGAUGAAGACUCUACUUGACUAGCUGAGAGGAGGUGCAUGGCGUAGUCGUGU